CUGAAGCAGUUACUGUGGGGAGAAUUUCCCUCAGCUCCCCAGGGCUGCCUGGGUUGGGGAACCCAGGCUGGGAAAAGCCCCUUGAGGUGGAGGCUCCCCCAAGGGUGGG